ACAACAGGUGGAGCCUGCGGUUUAAUCGGACUCAACGCCGGGAAACUCACCAGAUAAGACAGCUGAAUGAUAGUCGGGCUGAAGACUCUACUUGACUAGCUGAGAGGAGGUGCAUGGCCGUCGUCAGUUUCGUACUGUGAAGCAUCCUGUUAAGUCAGGCAACGAGCGAGACCCACGCCAACAGUUGCCAGCUCGUCCUCCGGGAUGGUGGGGACACUGUUGGGACCGCCUCUGCUAAAGAGGAGGAAGGAAUGGGCAACGGUAGGUCAGCAUGCCCCGAAUUAUCUGGGCUACACGCGGGCUACAAUGGGUGGGACAAUGGGUAUCGACACCGAAAGGUGAAGGCAAUCUCCUAAACCCAUCCGUAGUUCGGAUUGUGGGCUGCAACUCGCCCACAUGAAGCUGGAAUCUGUAGUAAUCGCGGAUCAGCACGCCGCGGUGAAUACGUUCCCGGGCCUU
rnacentral:rRNA from 1 species